UCUCCGUAGGUGAACCUGCGGAGGGAUCAUUACAGACUUCUCGCCCCUCCGGGUAGAUCUCCCACCCACGUUGAUUGAUCCUGUGUUGCUUUGUCGCUCCGCCGGGCCCUGCCCGCCCCCCGGCCCCCGCUCGCUCGCGCCCUCCACACGCCCCGCAAACUAUGAAUGUCAGUUUCGUCUCAUUACUAUAUAAUAGUCAAAUCUUUACACUACGGAUCUCUUUGUUCUGGCAUCGAUAGAGAACACCACAGAGCGAAAGCACACACCUCUACACUCCAC
rnacentral:misc_RNA from 1 species